AGAGGAACCCCUGAUUUAUUUGG
rnacentral:miRNA from 1 species